rnacentral:tRNA from 1 species
GCCUGCCUAGCUUAGUUGGUAAAGCGCAAGGCUCUUAACCUUGUAGUUGUGGGUUUGAGCCCUAUGGUGGGCA